GAUGAAGAACGCAGCGAAAUGCGAUAAGUAAUGUGAAUUGCAGAAUUCAGUGAAUCAUCGAAUCUUUGAACGCACAUUGCGCCCGUCAGUAUUCUGGCGGGCAUGCCUGUUCGAGCGUCAUUACGCCCCUCAAGUCCCCUGUGGACUUGGUGUUGGGGAUCGGCGAGGCUGGUUUUCCAGCACAGCCGUCCCUUAAAUUAAUUGGCGGUCUCGCCGUGGCCCUCCUCUGCGCAGUAGUAAAACACUCGCAACAGGAGCCCGGCGCGGUCCACUGCCGUAAAACCCCCCAACUUUUUAUAGUUGACCUCGAAUCAGGUAGGACUACCCGCUGAAAUUAAGCAUAUCAAUAAGCGGAGGA
rnacentral:misc_RNA from 1 species